GAUAAACGCUAGCGGCAGGCCUAACACAUGCAAGUCGUACGGUAAGGCUCUUUCGGGAGCACACGAGUGGCGCACGGGUGAGUAACGCGUAUGCAAUCUACCCCUUACUGGGGGAUAGCCCGGGGAAACCCGAACUAAUAUCCCAUAAUACUGUUAAUUUGCAUGAAUUAACAGUUAAAGCUACGGUGGUAAGGGAUGAGCAUGCGUGCCAUUAGCUAGUUGGUAGGGUAAAAGCCUACCAAGGCUAUGAUGGCUAGGGGCCUGAGAGGGUGGUCCCCACACUGGUACUGAGAUACGGACCAGACUCCUACGGGAGGCAGCAGUGAGGAAUUUGGGCAAUGGGCGAAAGCCUGACCCAGCCAUGCCGCGUGCAGGAUGAAGGCCCUAAGGGUCUUAAAACUGCUUUUAUACGAGAGGAAAUCUCUGAUCGAGAAUCGGAGUUGACUGUAUCGUACGAAUAAGCAUUGGCUAACUCCGUGCCAGCAGCCGCGGUAAUAU
rnacentral:rRNA from 1 species